UCCCAGACUCCUACGGGAGGCAGCAGUGAGGAAUAUUGGUCAAUGGCCGGAAGGCUGAACCAGCCAAGCCGCGUGAAGGACGAAGGUGCCAAGCAUUGUAAACUUCUUUUGUCAAGGGACAAAAUCAGGCUCGAGAGCCUGACCGAGGGUACUUGAAGAAAAAGCAUCGGCUAACUCCGUGCCAGCAGCCGCGGUAAUACGGAGGAUGCGAGCGUUAUCCGGAUUUAUUGGGUUUAAAGGGUGCGUAGGCGGAAGGUUAAGUCAGCGGUAAAAUGUCGGUGCUCAACACCGGCCUGCCGUUGAAACUGGUCUUCUUGAGUGAGCGAGAAGUAUGCGGAAUGCGUGGUGUAGCGGUGAAAUGCAUAGAUAUCACGCAGAACUCCGAUUGCGAAGGCGGCAUACCGGCGCUCAACUGACGCUGAGGCACGAAAGCGUGGGGAUCGAACAGGAUUAGAUACCCCGGUAC
rnacentral:rRNA from 1 species